rnacentral:misc_RNA from 1 species
GAAUGAAGAACGUAGUGAAAUGCGAUAACUAAUGUGAAUUGCAGAAUUCCGUGAAUCAUCGAGUCUUUGAACGCACAUUGCGCCCCCUGGUAUUCCGGGGGGCAUGCCUGUCCGAGCGUCAUUGCUGCCCAUCAAGCACGGCUUGUGUGUUGGGUCCCGUCCCCCUCUCCCGGGGGACGGACCCGAAAGGCAGCGGCGGCACCGCGUCCGGUCCUCGAGCGUAUGGGGCUUUGUCACCCGCUCUUGUAGGCCCGGCCGGCGCUUGCCGACACCCAACCAUUUUUUUCAGGUUGACCUCGGAUCAGGUAGGGAUACCCGCUGAACUUAAGCAUAUCAAUAAGCGGAGGA